rnacentral:sRNA from 1 species
AAUACCUCAAAUAAGGGAGAACUUGAUGUACUGGGGUCCCUAUCAGUAAAAGAUGCAGCUCUUGCCCAAAAAGACAGUUCCUCUGCUCACUUACCCCCAAAGGACCGACCUGUCACCGUGUUCUUUGAAAGAAAAGGAAGUCCAUGCCAAUCUAGUACUGUCAAGGAAUUAUCCAAGACAGACAGAAUGGGCACCCAGCUGAAUGUAGCCUGUAAACUCUCUAAUAAUCGCAUUUCAAAAAGAGAACACUUUAGGCCAACUCAGUCUUAUAGCCACAAUUCUGAUGACCUUUCCAGAGAGGGAAAUACUAGGCCCAUUUUCUUCACUCCAAAGAACAAUAUGAGUAUUCCCCUUGUCAGCAAAGAAGCCUUAAACAGUAAAAAUCCUCAACUCCAUAAAGAAGAUGAACCAGCAUGGAAACCUGUGAAGUUAGCUGGGCCAGGCCAAAGAGAGGUAAGUUUUGAGUCCUGUUUAUCUAUCUUCUAUGCGAAAGAGAUGUACAUUAUUUUGGAAAUUAUUAUGCUUGUAGGUAGAGCACCUCAUCUACCCAUUUACUCCCAAGUGUUUUUAGAGAAAGAAGCCAUGAGCGGAGAUUGUUAUAAUUAUGAAGGUGUACUCCAGGCAGGGAAUGGUGCCUAAAAACCCAGUUGCUAAGAAAAAGAAGGCAAU